UACGUAGGGUGCAAGCGUUGUCCGGAAUUAUUGGGCGUAAAGAGCUCGUAGGCGGUUUGUUGCGUCGGCUGUGAAAUCCCGAGGCUCAACCUCGGGUCUGCAGUCGAUACGAGCAAACUAGAGUGUUGCAGGGGAGACUGGAAUUCCUGGUGUAGCGGUGAAAUGCGCAGAUAUCAGGAGGAACACCGGUGGCGAAGGCGGGUCUCUGGGCCGAAAUUGACGCUGGAGGAGCGAAAGCGUUGGGGAGCAAACA
rnacentral:rRNA from 1 species